UGGGGAAUAUUGGACAAUGGGCGCAAGCCUGAUCCAGCAAUGCCGCGUGAGUGAUGAAGGCCUUAGGGUUGUAAAGCUCUUUCGGCGGGGAAGAUGAUGACGGUACCCGCAGAAGAAGCCCCGGCUAACUUCGUGCCAGCAGCCGCGGUAAUACGAAGGGGGCUAGCGUUGUUCGGAAUUACUGGGCGUAAAGGGCGCGUAGGCGGCGCAUUAAGUCAGGUGUGAAAGCCCUGGGCUCAACCCAGGAAUUGCACUUGAUACUGAUGUGCUUGAAUCCGGAAGAGGAUGACGGAAUUCCCAGUGUAGAGGUGAAAUUCAUUGAUAUUGGGAAGAACACCAGUGGCGAAGGCGGUCAUCUGGUCCGGUAUUGACGCUGAGGCGCGAAAGCGUGGGGAGCAAA
rnacentral:rRNA from 1 species